rnacentral:rRNA from 1 species
GACGAACGCUGGCGGCGUGCCUAAUACAUGCAAGUAGAACGCACAGUUUAUACCGUAGCUUGCUACACCAUAGACUGUGAGUUGCGAACGGGUGAGUAACGCGUAGGUAACCUGCCUGGUAGCGGGGGAUAACUAUUGGAAACGAUAGCUAAUACCGCAUAAUAUUGAUUAUUGCAUGAUAAUUGAUUGAAAGAUGCUAUUGCAUCACUACCAGAUGGACCUGCGUUGUAUUAGCUAGUAGGUGAGGUAACGGCUCACCUAGGCGACGAUACAUAGCCGACCUGAGAGGGUGAUCGGCCACACUGGGACUGAGACACGGCCCAGACUCCUUCGGGAGGCAGCAGUAGGGAAUCUUCGGCAAUGGACGAAAGUCUGGCCGAGCAACGCCGCGUGAGUGAAGAAGGGUUUCGGAUCGUAAAGCUCUGUUGUAAGAGAAGAACGGGUGUGAGAGUGGAAAGUUCACACUGUGACGGUAUCUUACCAGAAAGGGACGGCUAACUACGUG